CAGAUUAUAGCAUAUAAUUAAUGCAUUUUAUUUACACUAAAAAAAAAAAAAAAUUUUUUAAUCUGA
rnacentral:tRNA from 1 species